rnacentral:rRNA from 1 species
GAUGAACGCUGGCGGCGUGCCUAAUACAUGCAAGUCGAGCGAACGGACGAGAAGCUUGCUUCUCUGAUGUUAGCGGCGGACGGGUGAGUAACACGUGGAUAACCUACCUAUAAGACUGGGAUAACUUCGGGAAACCGGAGCUAAUACCGGAUAAUAUUUUGAACCGCAGGGUUCAAUAGUGAAAGACGGUCUUUCUGGCACUUAUAGAUGGAUCCGCGCUGCAUUAGCUAGUUGGUAAGGUAACGGCUUACCAAGGCAACGAUGCAUAGCCGACCUGAGAGAGUGAUCGGCCACACUGGAACUGAGACACGGUCCAGACUCCUACGGGAGGCAGCAGUAGGGAAUCUUCCGCAAUGGGCGAAAGCCUGACGGAGCAACGCCGCGUGAGUGAUGAAGGUCUUCGGAUCGUAAAACUCUGUUAUUAGGGAAGAACAUAUGUGUAAGUAACUGUGCACAUCUUGACGGUACCUAAUCAGAAAGCCACGGCUAACUACGUG